UUUUUACCGGAGUACUAUGAAUACUAUAAAUUUAAAACUCAAAGAACUUGGCGGUGUUUUAGACCACUCAGGGGAACCUGUCUCGUAAUCGACAAUCCACGUUGUACCUGACCUUUCUUUGUUCUCAGUUUGUAUACCGUUGUCGUCAGGUAACUUUUUAGAAUGUAGAAGUUGGCUGGAGAAAUAAAUGAUUUAGUACGUCAAAUCAAGGUGCAGCUAAUAGAAAGGGGAGGAUGGGUUACAAUUAUUUAUUUAUAAUUACGGAUUAUUAUGUUAAAGCGUAAAAAUAAGAAGGAGGACUUGAAAGUAAAUUAAAUUUAUAAAAAUAAAUUUGAAUAAGGCUCUGAAACGUGU
rnacentral:rRNA from 1 species